AUUGAACGCUGGCGGCAGGCCUAACACAUGCAAGUCGAACGAGUGGCGGACGGGUGAGUAAUGUCUGGGAAACUGCCUGAUGGAGGGGGAUAACUACUGGAAACGGUCGCUAAUACCGCAUACCAUCGGAUGUGCCCAGAUGGGAUUAGCUAGUGGGUGGGGUAAAGGCUCACCUAGUCGACGAUCCCUAGCUGGUCUGAGAGGAUGACAAGCAACACUGGAACUGAGACACGGUCCAGACGCCUACGGGAGGCAGCAGUGGGGAAUAUUGCACAAUGGGCGCAAGCCUGAUGCAGCCAUGCCGCGUGUAUGAAGAAGGCCUUCGGGGUGUAAAGUACUUUCAGCGGGGAGGCGUUACCAGCAGAAGAAGCACAGGCUAACUCCGUGCCAGCCGCCGCGGUAAUAC
rnacentral:rRNA from 1 species